UACGGAGGAUGCGAGCGUUAUCCGGAUUUAUUGGGUUUAAAGGGUGCGUAGGCGGACUGUCAAGUCAGCGGUAAAAUUGAGAGGCUCAACCUCUUCCCGCCGUUGAAACUGGUGGUCUUGAGUGGAUGAGAAGUACGCGGAAUGCGUGGUGUAGCGGUGAAAUGCAUAGAUAUCACGCAGAACUCCGAUUGCGAAGGCAGCGUACCGGCAUCCAACUGACGCUGAGGCACGAAAGCGUGGGGAUCAAUCAGG
rnacentral:rRNA from 1 species